UAAAACUGGUAACUGGGGCUAAGUCGUAACAAGGUAGCCGUACCGGAAGGUGCGGCUGGAACACCUCCUUU
rnacentral:rRNA from 1 species